AAAACUCUUCAGAGAUCUUCUUCUCUAAACCGUACAAAAAACAGCAAAAAGGAAAUAUCUGCAGCUCAACAAGAGGAAUUUUUAAAAAUGAUGAAGCAUGCUCAGAAGGGACGAAUGGAGGAGCAGCGUUGUUCUCUACCCGCCAGCACACCUGCCACACCCACACACAAUGGCAGUGCUUUAAAUAACAUGGGCAGAGGUGCAGAGACAGAUACAUUUGUUAGAAGACCUGCAAGGCGGUUG